UUAAAUAGAACUCUGAUUGUGUAUUCCACCAAGGAAACAGGUGUGGUUUUGAGUAACAGCUAAAAAACAAGAUUUUGAGAAUUAACUUCAUGCAACAUCCUAGAGACUUGCUUUCAAUGUUAAUCAUUAAGUGUCAGUACAGAAAGCUCCUAGAGGACUUCAGCUACUUGUCAAAAGCAGUUUGCAAGCUGAGUGGCCAUGAACUUCAUUCCUUGCCUGAUAUAAGGGCAUCACGCCAGCCCCUUUGAGCCUGCAGGACUGGAGGGAUGAGAGUGGAUAAUCCAAUCUUCUUCCUUCCCCUCCGGGAAAAAGUUUCAAGACCAGUUUUAUACCAUCUGUAUUCCUUGUUUUGAAGGUGACGGUAUGGUUUGUUAGCUUCCUGUUAUGAAUAUGCACUUGGCAUGAUUUUGAAUAGUUAAGGAAGUGUAGAUUAAAAAAAAAAAAAAAACCCAAAACAAAAAACCCCAAACACCAUGAGCAGUAUCUAGUCCUUGCAUCACCGGCCUUAAACCAGAGAACAACCAAGCCUUCUGUCUGCUCAACCCUACCCUUUCCAUCCCCGCCAGCUGAGGCUGCUUCUCGCAAGUGAACCGAGUAUCAGUUACCUGGUUAGAAAAAACUUCCACAGCACAGAACAAGAGAGCCUUGUGCUGCUGAAAACAGCCAGCCACGUUAAAGGCCAUGCAAGAACAUGAAAUAACUUCUUGUCAUUGAGUUCUGAACCAGUGUGGCAAUUGGUAACAGCCCUUUUCCACACAC
rnacentral:lncRNA from 1 species